AGCAGUCGCCGCGGGAAUACGAGGGGGGCAAGCGUUGUUCGGAAUUACUGGGCGUAAAGCGCACGUAGGCGGCUUGGUAAGUUAGAGGUGAAAGCCCGGAGCUCAACUCCGGAAUUGCCUUUAAGACUGCCGAGCUAGUAGGUGAGAGAGGUAAGUGGAAUUCCGAGUGUAGAGGCGAAAUUCGUAGAUAUUCGGAAGAACACCAGUGGCGAAGGCGGCUUACUGGCUCAUUCUAGACGCUGAGGUGCGAAAGCGUGGGGAGCAAACAGGAUUAGAUACCCCCGUAGUCCCUGUCUCUUAUAC
rnacentral:rRNA from 1 species